rnacentral:lncRNA from 1 species
GCCUGUUUACCUUAAAAUAUCUGAAUGCCAGAUGCAAAAUGUUUGAACAUAAGUCCCUCACUUAAUAAGCAGAGAUGAACACAGUCUUGUGGUCACUGACAAGAAAGGGGUGGAUUUAUUUGAUAAGAACUGCAGAUGAGUACUCUUCCUGGGUGAGAGAAGUUCGGAUGGACUGCAGACUCCAAACCAACAACAUAAGCGCCAUCAGAAGCCUUGUAAAUGGUUAAGGGUUUCCAAAAGCCAUUAGGACCCAAGAGAGUAAAACCAACCAAACGAAGAAGCAUAAAAUCUCCACAAACAUAAGGAAUCUGCAUGGUUAAAUUUCUUCUCCAAAGUCGCCUGCACCCCAAUUCCAUGUGGCUCUGCCUUCGGUUCUUAUUCAUAAAAUACACCUAUCAGUUUAUCGCCUCGGCUCCAAGUUCACUCUCCAGUACCCGCUCUGGGAUAUCGGCAGGGCGCUUUUCGGUCCUGGUGACUCCUGGGAACAUGGAUGCUCACAUUCCUUCACCCUGUGACCCCUCCUGUGUAGGACACUGCAGGAUGCAGCUCCUCUUCAUGAAACCAGUUUCUUAACCUUUUGCAGUGUCAGAAAUGCUGGAAAAGAAAGCCAUAAAAUUAUGGUGAUAGUCAGUGGAAGACAGUGAGACAUUUUAAAAUCCAUAGUUCCUGAAGGACAAAUCAUGAAUGUCCAUGCAUUCGAGCUCUCUGUUGACUGAGAAUGGCUAUUUAUCUCCCACAGGGAGGAGCCGGUGAGGAGCCACGGAGAGUGGAGAAUAAGCCUUAGCCUGGGGGACCUGCCGA